UUCUCAAGCUCUGAGAGCCGCUUCUGCUUAAGCAUAUUCAAGUCCUACAUCAAGAAAACAAAUACCUACACAUGUAAAGUAGGAACUUUGAUCAAGGUGAUCACAGUUUUUCAUUAAUUUUUCUUACCUCUGAAAGCUCUCUGCAGGAUUCUAUCAACCUUGCUCUUUUUGCGAAGCCCAGUGAGCAGAUGGUCUCGCCGACAUCAUCCUUAGAAGGACUGAUAUGCACUACCAUCAGAAAUUUUGAACCACCACCUGUAACAUAUCAACAUAAACCAUAUAGGUUUACAUUACAUUACAUUUGUUUGUAACUUUGAUGUUUCAAAUUGGACUGAGCAAUUUCUCUUACCAAGAGAAUCACUGAGAAUUUGGGUGAGCUUGCUGUUUCUGCAGAGUUUGAAAAUUAAAAUAAGCAAUGACAUCUCCAAGGGCUGAUAGAGAGAGGUUUAUGGCCUUACCUUCAUCCAUUGUCAACCCAGACGCACCAGUCUUUAGCAACCGCUCACUGCCACCAAGAUCGACGAGCCAAAGCUUGCUGACUUCUUCAGUGACACCUCCAGAUCUUCUUAUGGUAAUUCUUGUCAAGCUACACACAGACACAGCUAAGGCACAUAAAAUUGGGUACUGUUCAAGUUACCAUACUGCAGAAACUGAAACUCUGUAGCUGGAACGGCUCAUCAACCCACCAGUGUGAUCGGCUCGAAACAUCGUUGACAUUUGUCCAGGAUGUUGAUCGGGAUCGCCGCCCUCUGCAAUACCACUGGUUGGCUUUCUUGAUGUCUGGCAUCGCAACAUCGGUGAAUUGAUGGGUCUUUACCACGUUGUAUUGCAUUCUGUGGACCUGAAGAGAUGCUGCCUUGGUGCCAACAAGUCCCUGAGACUUCCCAUGUAGAGCUCAAGCAUGCUUAUGGAGAAAGAAUAUGUGGAUGAACUAUCUUGAGAAGCAUGCGAAAACAGUUCUUGUAUCGCUCGAGGCACGACGCCAAGGUUAUCGUUAGUUCCUUCCUGCAUGCAGUUUGGAA